rnacentral:lncRNA from 1 species
CAGUAGCUAGGCUUUCUCACUCUGACACCAUCAACCAACAUACUUUACACCGCAUGGGAUUUACUAAGACAGAUGGUGGUUGGACUAAAGGUGUGGAAGAGAGAGCUGAGGACAGAGCUGAGGAAGAAGGACCACCCUCACCCCUCCGUGAUCUCAGGGCAGCAUCUCCAGACAUUCAGUUCAUUUCGGAUCACGAGGCUGGACCAUCAGAGUCUACGAGGAGGCACACUCCAGUCUAGCAGCCAGACAGCAGAGCACUUCCCUCAGAGAUCAGAUUGACUGACGACCAGAUAGAGAUGAUAUCUCAGCACAU